CCUACGGGUGACAGCAGUGAGGAAUAUUGGUCAAUGGGCGCGAGCCUGAACCAGCCAAGUCGCGUGAGGGAAGACGGUCCUAUGGAUUGUAAACCUCUUUUGUCGGGGAGCAAAAGACGCCACGUGUGGCGUUCCGAGAGUACCCGAAGAAAAAGCAUCGGCGAACUCCGUGCCCGCAGCCGCGGUAAUACGGAGGAUGCGAGCGGUAGCCGGAUGUAUGGGGUUUAAAGGGUGCGCAGGCGGAAGUUCAAGUCCGCGGUAAAAGUGAGAGGCUCAACCUCUUCGAGCCGUUGAAACUGGUGUUCUUGAGUGAGCGAGAAGUAUGCGGAAUGCGUGGUGUAGCGGUGAAAUGCAUAGAUAUCACGCAGAACUCCGAUUGCGAAGGCAGCAUACCGGCGCUCAACUGACGCUGAGGCACGAAAGUGUGGGUAUCGAACAGGAUUAGAUACCCUGGUAGUC
rnacentral:rRNA from 1 species